UGGGGAAUUUUGGACAAUGGGGGAAACCCUGAUCCAGCCAUCCCGCGUGUGCGAUGAAGGCCUUCGGGUUGUAAAGCACUUUUGGCAGGAAAGAAACGUCAUGGGUUAAUACCCCGUGAAACUGACGGUACCUGCAGAAUAAGCACCGGCUAACUACGUGCCAGCAGCCGCGGUAAUACGUAGGGUGCAAGCGUUAAUCGGAAUUACUGGGCGUAAAGCGUGCGCAGGCGGUUCGGAAAGAAAGAUGUGAAAUCCCAGAGCUCAACUCUGGAACUGCAUUUUUAACUACCGGGCUAGAGUGUGUCAGAGGAAGGUGGAAUUCCGCGUGUAGCAGUGAAAUGCGUAGAUAUGCGGAGGAACACCGAUGGCGAAGGCAGCCUCCUGGGAUAACACUGACGCUCAUGCACGAAAGCGUGGGGAGCAAACAGG
rnacentral:rRNA from 1 species